CUUUGAACUACCAGUUUCCCCAUGAAGAUCAUGGCUCUUCUCAAGGUGGCCCGGUCCAUAAGACUCUCUCCUUCCAGCACCCAUGCCCAGCCCACCACCUGGCACUCUACCCACUAGUUUGUGCUAUUAACUCCAAGGCUUGUUGUGUGGAAGAGGAUGACCAGGACAUUUGACUUCUCAAAAAGAAAGCUGGUUGUAAUGUUGCAACUUAGCAGUGCCUACCUACCCCUUCCAUGGAAAUCAGUAUUCUUCCAGCCAGAAGUGGGAAAAUCAGAUCGAUUCAUGUUUGGAAGUAACAAUCAAUUCACCAGCAAAUUCCAUGUCUACCUAUAAAACCCCUGUCACCUUUCAAUAUUCCACCUGGUCGGAAAAAAUGCUUACCUUGCUUUAAGGACAACCUCCUUCAACUACCUCUUGUCACCUGUAUAAUUGAAGAAACAUUCUUCCCACCAAAAGUAAAAUAUUUCUCCUAAUCAUCUACACUUUACUUCUAUCUCAACUUUUCAGAAGUUCUUGAAUUUUACUUUGGAUCAUUAAGCAAUCUUUUUGAUGACAGAAAGUCCUGGAAGUACAGAGAGUCCCAAACAAGAUGAACCCAAAGAGGUACAUACCA